rnacentral:piRNA from 1 species
AGCUCAGAACCCCCACAGGCCAGGCA